GACUGAUUGGCCUCAGAUCAGCAUAGAUCAGGCUUCUUGCUUGUGAUGCUGGAAUUAACCCGGGGCCUCCCUGCAUGCUAGAUUCCCCACUUCUUCUAAAUGAGAAAGGAAGCCAAUCUGUCAAGUUUCAGGAAGGCAAAGCGAAUGACCACUAGCCUUUGCCAUUGAGGACGGAGAUAGCAAAAUUGGACGAGGAGAGAGACACUGAAGAACAUGUGUUUUAAGGUAUCAUGGACAAAUAGAUAAAAAAAGACGGAAAUGUGAAGUUCUGGAAAUUUUAUUCUGAGAGCCAGAGAGGUAGAUUUGGG
rnacentral:lncRNA from 1 species